UUGCUCUACCCCAGGGAAAUGGGGGCCGCCCGUCUCCCUGCCUGGCUGUCUGCCCGCCUGGCUACGAUGUGUGCAAGGCUGGCCUCCCAUCUCCCCGCCUGGCUGCGAUGUGUGCAAGGCUGGCCUCCUGUCUCCCUGCCUGGCUGUGAUGUGUGCAAGGCCGGCCUCCCGUCUCCCCGCCUGGCUGUCUAACCGCCUUGGCCUCCUGUCUCCCUGCCUGGCUGCGAUGUGUGCAAGGCCGGCCUCUUUCUCUGGACGUGGUGCUUCAAGGUGCAUCCUGGGAGUGUAGGUCAGCACUUCCUCUUCGGGGCUGAGGACUAGUCCACCCUGCAGAUUCACUGCACAGAGUCUGUCCAUUCUCGUGCAUUCUUUGAAACAGUGCCAUGUUGUGAGACACAACAAGCCGCACGUGUGUAAAGCGUGCAGUUCGAUGAGCUUUGGCGCAUGUGCACAGCUGCCAAGCCCUUGCUCCAGCUAGGAUGACGAGCGUGUUCACCCCUCCAUGCUGCGUGGCUGCAUCAAGCGCCCUGAUAAUUUCCCCCCUCAUUCCCUUUGGGCUUCAGACAGCAAGGGGAGGACAGAGGCUGUUGUUCCUUCCCUCUAGCGCUAGUAAAUCAGCUUCAUUUUUUAA
ensembl:lncRNA novel transcript